rnacentral:rRNA from 1 species
CAACUAUCAGCAACGGAUCUCUUGGCUCUCGCAUCGAUGAAGAACGCAGCGAAAUGCGAUAAGUAAUGUGAAUUGCAGAAUUCAGUGAAUCAUCGAAUCUUUGAACGCACCUUGCGCCUCGUGGCUUACCACGGGGCACGCCCGUUCGAGUGUCACG